GACGAACGCUGGCGGCGUGCUUAACACAUGCAAGUCGAGCGGUAAGGCUCCUUCGGGAGUACACGAGCGGCGAACGGGUGAGUAACACGUGAGCAAUCUGCCCAUCUCUUUGGAAUAAGCGUUGGAAACGACGUCUAAUGCCGAAUACGACCUCCUUUCGCAUGAUCGGAGGUGGAAAGCUCCGGCGGAGAUGGAUGAGCUCGCGGCCUAUCAGCUAGCNGGUGAGGUAACGGCCCACCAAGGCGACGACGGGUAGCCGGCCUGAGAGGGUGACCGGCCACACUGGGACUGAGAC
rnacentral:rRNA from 1 species